GUCGAACGGGAUUUAGUAGACAGAAGCUUCGGUGGAAGAUUACUAAUGAGAGUGGCGAACGGGUGAGUAACGUGUGAGCAACCUGCCUAUGACAGUGGGAUAGCCUCGGGAAACCGGGAUUAAUACCGCAUAAAAUCGUAGAAACACAUGUUUUAGCGGUCAAAGAUUUAUCGGUCAUAGAUGGGCUCGCGUCUGAUUAGCUAGUUGGUGAGAUAACAGCCCACCAAGGCGACGAUCAGUAGCCGGUCUGAGAGGAUGAACGGCCACAUUGGAACUGAGACACGGUCCAAACUCCUACGGGAGGCAGCAGUGGGGAAUAUUGCACAAUGGGGGAAACCCUGAUGCAGCGACGCCGCGUGAACGAAGAAGGUAUUCGUAUCGUAAAGUUCUGUCCUAUGGGAAGAUAAUGACAGUACCAUAGAAGAAAGCUCCGGCUAAAUACGUGCCAGCAGCCGCGGUAAUACGUAUGGAGCGAGCGUUGUCCGGAAUUAUUGGGCGUAAAGGGUACGCAGGCGUGUUUAAUAAGUCG
rnacentral:rRNA from 2 species